rnacentral:misc_RNA from 1 species
CAAUGUUUCCCGGGGCUAUCAUUGAAAUUCAGAAUAAUUAUUCAUUGAUCUCCGCUUUGCUUCUAAGUUUCGUACAACCUUAGCUUCUUCAGUUCGACUUGAUCCUCGAUUUAAAUGGUAUUAGCGAAUUAAUCUUCAAUUUGCAGAGCGAAAUAAUAGUUACGUGACUGUUUAAGCUUACCAUCUAUGAUUUACAAUUUAAUGAAUAAGAAUAAAUAUUAUAUUUAUUUGAAUUUAUUUUUAAAAAAAUUAACACUGAGUAAUUGAUAUAUUUUCUUUUUUGAGAUGAAGUGUCAGAUUACAAUAUUAUAUUGUUAAGUUCGUCUAUCGAUUUCAAAUAAACCACGAACGAAUCCAACAAUUUCUAUUUAAUCAUUUUAAUCAUAGUUAAAUGCAUCAAUUAAAUACAUCGAUUAAGGAUCUGACAAGUAGAAUAAAUUUCGAUGUCGUAAAUAAUACAGCGUGUUUCAGAAUCAGAAUCAUCAAGGAUAAUCAGGUAAUUUUCCAGCAGUAUAUCAUUACAUCGAUAAGUAUCGAAUAUCGUGUUUUCCUUUUUUCGCGAGUUUUAUCCCGAUUAUGGCAGGAAAUUCCGCUUUCGAUCAUCGGGAACAGCGUAUGGACAACCUUCGUCAAGUAACAAAGGAAAGAUAACGAAUAAUAGCGGUAAUACACUGUAAACGAGGAUUGUAAGAACGUUCAAUCGUUCAUUAACGACGAGAGACUCUUGGUUUUGACUGGAAAAAAAAAAAAAAAAAAAGGAAAAGAAAAGAAGAACGAUCUGCAGCGUUCUGGUCCAUUGUAACGUGUAAGUCAGGUGCAACAACGAUGUGUGCGCUAGAUGUCCUUGACAUCCGCGGCCUUGUCAAGAAUUUUUCCGCAUUCGAUUGUUGUUCCAAGCACGCUCCACGAACUGCAAAUCGCGAGAAGAGGGGGAGUUAUAUACGUGGAACGAGAUAGAGAGAUGGAAACCGGAAGACUGGAAGAGGAUGAGGAGAUCGGUUGUUGAAUGGCGGACGCGACUUCGACCUUCGUCGAGAGCUACACGGUAGAAAAUAAAGCAGAUAGAACGUAGAAAAGGCUCGUGACUAUCCGACACGGAUGGACAAGUAUCGCGUGUAAUCGGUUGGCCAUUAAUAUCAGUCCGCCUCCUUGAUAUAAUUUCAUCGGUCGGCGGCCACCGUUUAUCCCGGAAAUGGCUUUCACUUUCUCCCCCACUAGAGGCGGUAACUUUCACUAACGAGGCCUCUGCAAAACUGGCUCGUGCGCGUAUGUAUACACGAUCGUGGGAUCGGUGGAGAGGAGAGAGACAGAAGAGAGAGGACGUGUGUGUGUGUGUGUGUGAGAUAGAGAGAGAGAAAAGGAAAAAGGAGAGGAAGAAAGAAUCGGGUUUCUGGGUCGGUAAAGGCGAACAAAGCGAUCCUCCUUGUUGUCCCUUCGUCCUCGCUCGCACGGCCUCGUGAAUUUUUGUCGUGCGACGGACGGACGGAAGGAAGGAUGGGAUAUUUCGACGAUCGAAAUUUCCCUUCCACUCGGAUGGGAUAGGAUGACAUUGAGAACGAUUAGUGUACGAUGUCGUGGAGAAUGCCCGUUGUAUUAUACCUGGAAUGUUUGAAGAUACUGCGUUUGAGUCAACCGCUAAAUGUGAAAUUUCAUUGGGAUCAAAAGUUCAUACAGUUGAAGUUACACCAUGAUUUUUAUAAGUUCAAGAAGUUCAAGGUAAGUAAAUUGAAUCUGUA